GUGUUUCGCCUACCCAAGUUUGUAAUGCCUAACCUAAAGAUUUUUAAGUCAUUCUUUUACAAACAGUUCUUCAAUCAGAGAGUUUCCCUUUUGAAACCAGUUGACAACUUCAUGAAAAGGGAAAAGAAAAUAUUUGCCUAGUACCAACAUUAUGCCAACUCUACCAGUAAUUGUGUUUAGCUACAAUGUAUAGUAGAAACACGUAUCAUUUUUUAGGUCUAAUUUUCAGUUUCAUUUAAUUUUUUUAUUUUUUAUUUCCACCAAAUAAGGUACUGAUACAAUAAAUAAAGUACACAGUGAAUAAUGACUUCACACAGAUCUUCAAAUAAACUUUAAU
rnacentral:lncRNA from 1 species